UGGGGAAUAUUGGGCAAUGGGCGAAAGCCUGACCCAGCCACGCCGCGUGAGUGAUGAAGGCCUUCGGGUCGUAAAGCUCUGUGGGGAGGGACGAACAAGCCUGGGGCUAAUCACCCGGGACCUGACGGUACCUCCUUAGCAAGCACCGGCUAACCCUGUGCCAGCAGCCGCGGUAAUACAGGGGGUGCAAACGUUGCUCGGAAUCAUUGGGCGUAAAGCGCACGUAGGCGGUCUGUUAUGUCGGAUGUGAAAGCCCUUGGCUCAACUGAGGAAGUGCAUCCGAAACUGGCAGGCUAGAGUACUAAAGAGGGUCGCGGAAUUCCCGGUGUAGAGGUGAAAUUCGUAGAUAUCGGGAGGAACACCGGUGGCGAAGGCGGCGACCUGGGUAGAUACUGACGCUGAGGUGCGAAAGCGUGGGGAGCAAACAG
rnacentral:rRNA from 1 species